rnacentral:lncRNA from 10 species
UGACUUCCAUAUUUUCUUCUGGUAGUUCACAUUAUAUAUAUUAAAGUUAGUUGUUCAACAUGACUCUGGUUCCUGCACAAUCUAGUUGAAUGGAGUAAUAGUUACAUUUUGAAAUUUUACGUAUGCAGUGGUUCCUUGGUAUCCGUGGGAGGCUGGUUCCAGAACCCUCUUGGAUACCAAAAUCUGCAAAUGCGAAAGUCCCUGAUAUUAAAUGGCAUAGUAUUUGCAUGUAACCUAUGCACAUCCUCCUGUGUACUUUAAAUCAUCUCCAGAUUACUUAUAAUAUCUAAUGCAAGGUAAAUGUUAUAUAAAUAAUUGUUAUAUUGUAUUGUUUAGGUAAUAACACACACACUCUAACACUCGCUCUGUUUUCCCCACAAUCCGCAGCAUGCAGCCUGCUGUGUCCACCUCACAUACGCACUGGACCUUGUCCUCACUGG